rnacentral:rRNA from 1 species
CACGUAGGGCGCAAGCGUUGUCCGGAAUUAUUGGGCGUAAAGAGCUCGUAGGCGGUCUGUUGCGUCUGCUGUGAAAACCCGGGGCUUAACCCCUGGCUUGCAGUGGAUACGGACAGACUAGAGGUAGGUAGGGGAGAAUGGAAUUCCCGGUGUAGCGGUGAAAUGCGCAGAUAUCAGGAGGAACACCCGUAGCGAAGGCGGCACUCUGGGCCGAUUCUGACACUGAGGAGCGAAAGCGUGGGGAGCGAACAGG